rnacentral:lncRNA from 1 species
AUGUAAUCUUUGCCCUUUACAAUGCACAGACUCAGAGGCCAGAGUUACUAAGCCUAGAAUUCUAGAUUCCAACAAAAGUAGGCUCUCCUAGCUCCCCAUCUAUCUGUUGGGGAAUGAUUGUUUCCAGAAGCUUCAACUAACCCUAUCUCUUGGAACUGCAGUUUCUUCAUCUGUACAAUGGGGCAGCAUUUUCUUUCCGGUACCAGGGAACGAACUCAGGUCCUUGCGCUAACCAGGCAGUCAUGGCGCCACUGAGCUACAUCCCUGGCCCAACUUCCAACUCUAUUUAUUUUAUGACAAGGUCUUGCUAAGUUCUCCGGCUGGCCUCGAACUUGCGAUCCUCCUGCUUCAACCUGAGUCACUGGGAUUACAGUACUGGAGAUUGAACUCGGGACCUUAUGCUUGCGAGACAGACAUGGUACUGCUGUGCUAAAUCCCCAACCCCACCUUUUUUUUUUUUUUUUUUAUUAAGAGUCUCUGUUUUCCUGUAUUUUGCCAAUAUGUUUUAUUUUCAGUUCUGACUUCACAAAUGUUCACAAACGCUGAGUGCAUGUAGUGUUAAAAGUCUCUGAUGUUUUUCAGUCCUUCUUCCCUUCCAACAAUUUUCUCCGCACAUCAAGAAGAUGUCAAGUGUUCUCAUUCAGGUAAAAAUACUGAAAGAGACAAGCCAACUCUUCCUCACCUAAAAGUCUGCUGUCUUCCAGGGGCUCAGUUUCCCAGGUAGACUCCAGAUGGCCCAAGGCCCUUGGGGACUCAUUUCUAACGCAUUUACACGGUUCUGUAGACAUUCCGUUUCUUCAUCUUUUCUUUGGUUCUUUUCCAGCAGAUCUCUCUUCUCCCAACGUAUUUCUUCCAGAAGCUGCCCCUGCCUUUAUCUGUUCAGACACUGGAGCUCAGAUUCUUUGUUCUCCGUCAGCUCCCCGAGUUGCUAUCUGCAGAGCAUCAGCUGGUGGCACAAAUUUUUCUGUUUUCUCUUUUAGUUCCUCACAGCCCCACUGAAGUUUAGUCUUACUUUCUGCUAACCAGUGACGUAGGUCAUAAUGUAUAUCAGGACCAGAAGAUAAAGCUUUCAAUCUCUCUAUUGAGUCCCUGGACAAAGUUUUACAGCUGC